GUCAGGAAUGGGAUGGCACUUCAAGUUCAUAUGUGGUACGUGGCCAAAUACUUUUGGCAAUGUAGUGUAUACUGUAUGUCGUGGAUUAAUACGGUGGAUCCAAAAAAGCUUUCGAGGACAACAUCGUACCCGCCUUGUUCCGUGUGCUCGAGCUCUGUGCCUCGACCUCCAUCCGGAUUUUGGACUGCCUCCCUUGAUCCUGGACCCUUGCCUGGACACAGACCUUGUCGUUUCUCUCCUGCCCUCGACCUCCUGCCUGUCCCCGGACUUCCUUUGUGCCUCACCCUCUCGGACGGACAAAGAAUUCAUCCAUCCCGCACGUACAACAUCCUCUGAUGGCGUUAUGUCAGACGCUGGGCCGCACUGAGAGGCACACUGGCACGCAUCAAAUAAUGAGCGUGGCUUCUUAAGCACACAGCUGGAACAAGAGCAGGCAGGAUCUUUACUGUACUUUGACAUGCUUCAGGACUCUGUUGUUUCCUGUUUAGUCCACCACCAGUUCUUAUGAUCACUACAACCAAAUGAGUUAUGUUACUUCUAUCAUUUUCCCUUUCAAAAACGAUUUACUAUUUUUUUCAUCCUAAUAUAUUCAGAACUCUCCGAUGUAUGUUUUAUGCUGACGAUUACGAGGAUCCACUAGUGAGAUCGGCCGAUACAAUUCACAUGUAUUAAAUGUAAAUUUCUCAAUUUGUUUAUGGUGAAAUACUCCCGGUUUCCUGUUCACAUUUGUACGGAGUACACACUGCGCCUCUUUACCAUCACCGUCUGCAUGGUGACACCCUCACUUAGCUCACUGAAUACUCAGUGCUUUUAGUCAGUUACUGUAAUACUUUCAUAUUGUCCUUUACUAACUUUGUUGUCAAAUGUGCAUGUUUUAUUUUGAAUUAUCUUUUUAGGUGGCGCUUUGAGAUGUCAAUACAUUAAAUAAAUUGUGGGACUUCCACUUAUGAUACAAUAAAGAGUAUAGUAUAGAAAUGAUGGCUGUGUCACAAAUGUGCCCUUUAAUAAGUAAGCAUAUUGUGUACCCUUACGCCGAUUUUGACAGUUUUAGAAAUUGCGAUUACUCGCCUUCAUUUAAGUAGACUAGAUGGCAACUAUCAAGGGUGCCAAGUGUCCAAGCACUAUACACUCAACAUUUGUAUCAAUGAGAACAAACAGUGCACUGCAUUCUGCUGUACUUCUUAGUAGGAACAUGACUUAUGACUUGAAGUGUUACUACACAAGUGCACCAAUUGAGACACGGCCUUACCUUGUACAUAUCUUCAUAUUUCAAGAAGAGGACAUUAGAGUCCAUACGAUGUUCCCAAAAUUCUAAAACAUGUUCAAACCAGGAACCAUAUCCUACUAAGAAAAAAAAAAAACACAGGUCAUUUUGAGUUUGCCGUCGUCUCUGGACAGUCCAAUAACCAGAUCAAUAACUGAGUUCAAUUAGUAUAGAAUGUGGUAACUGCCAUACUUACACUUUUCAUUCAUGAAACGCUGGCAGAACUCUUGGAAGGUUCCUCGGUAGCUCAUGGUCCUAAGAGAUCGGUGGAACUGGUAGUAGGAUACUACCAAGUCUUUUGGGUUACGAGCCAUGUAUAUUACCUGCAUCGAAGGAUAUUGAGAGUAUUGGGGGAAUAACACAUUUCUUAUGAUGCAGGUUAAGGUUCAAAAGGGGAAACAAGACGAAGGGCACCAAGAAAUUGAAUAGAAAAAGUACUGAUGCUUGGUGUCACAAACACUGUGGCUUUGCCUUUUUCACUUUUUUCCUAAACAAACAUACUACAAAAAAUAUAUAUAUAUUUAUAUAUAUAUAUAAUUCAGUGCAAGGCCCAUGCUGCCUUGUGUUAUUGUAACAAUGUUAUAACACAACAGAGAGGGAUCUUGUUGAUAAAAGUUGCAUUACCUUUAACAUAACAGGCAUCACUUAAUAAUUAGAAAUAGGCUACAUGUAUGUUAUGUCUCCUUAUGUUUGUCUGCUCUUGAAUGGGAUUCUGCUGAAAAUCUUAAUUUCUCCUCGGGGAUUAUUAAAGUAUUUGUGUUCUGAUUAAUAUAAAUAUAUAUUAAUAUUUUCUAACAGAUGAACUCAACUGUUUCUGCUGCAAGCACAGGAGGAUCUGAGGAAAGUGUGAGUUCUCAUAUACAAAAUGCACAACAAACACACUGCUGAGGGCAUUGGCAAAAAGACUACACUUGAUUGAACAUUAAAUUUGACGGAUAUUGACUCCAUAAAAAUGUAAAGUUAGGAGACAUGAGCCAACAUGGAACUGACCUUUGCCUCUCCAUUGUGUAUUCCUGAGGGAAGGAAUCGGUAGGGAAGAUGACUUUUGAUCAGGCGGGGGGACAUAAGCUCCUGUAGAAAUAAUAAUUACAGUAAAAAUUAUUAGACCGUUAACUGUUGCUUGGUUUUUCCAUACAUGGGCUACAAAUCAGUAUGCCGUACUUAACCAGAUUUUAAAUACCUUUAUGAUGUCCAGGCCUGGUUGAGGGUACUCUAAGACAGGCAACUGUUCAUCAAUGUUCAUAAAGCCAAUCUCAUUUGGGUCUGCUCCUUGACUCACAAGAUACACAACCUCUUGAAGUAGACUGGUGCCUGCAGUGACAGGAAGCAAAGGCACAUUAGUGGAUAAUGACACAUAAUGGUAAAAAUAUACAGUGUAAAUUAGGGCUGUCAAAAGCUACGUUCUGAUUGCCUGAGUUGAGAAACUACUGAAAAAGACAGUUUCUUGGAUUAAAUCCCUUUUUUUCAGCGUUUGUCAAACGUCAGACAAAAUAAUCCAACAAAUUUCCCACAGAAAUACUGUUUUUAUUACAUUAAGUGCCUUAAAAAAUAUUACUUAUUUCAGCCAAAAUGAUAUGUUGUUUUCAAAGAGUCCACUGCUGGCAAGUUUGAUACAAAUUAUUCAGAUAUAAUUAAUAAAACAUCCAAACAAAAUGAUAUACAAAUAAAUUAUUAAAAGGAAAAUCACCAACUUGCUCCACAUACACUAUAUUGCCAAAAGUAUUUGGCCACUCAUCCAAAUGAUCAAAAUCAAGUGUCCUAAUCACUUGGCCCGGCCACAGGUGUAUAAAUUCAAGCCCUUCGGCAUAGAAACUGUUUCUACAAACAUUUGCGAAAGAAUGGGUCGCUCUCAGUGAUUUCCAGUGUGGAACUGUCAUAGGAUGCCACCUGUGUAACAAAUCCAGUCGUGAAACUUCCUUGCUCCUAAAUAUUCCAAAGUCAUCUGUCGGCUUUAUUAUAAGAAAAUGGAAAAGUUUGGGAACAACAGCAACUCAGCCACAAAGUGGUAGGCCAUGUACACUGACAGAGAGGGGCCAGCGGACGCUGAAGCGGAUAUUGCAAAGAGGUCGCCAACUUUCUGCACAGUCAAUUGCAAGAGAGCUCCAAACUUCAUGUGACCUUCCAAUUAGCCCACGUACAGUACACACAGAGCUUCAUGGAAUGUGUUUCCAUGGCCGAGCAGCUGUAUGUAAGCCAUACAUCACCAAGUCCAAUGCAAAGCUUUGGAUGCAGUGGUGUAAAGCACGUUGCCACCGGACUCUAGAGCAGUUCUCUGGAGUGUUGAAUCACGUUUUUUCAUCUGGCAAUCUGAUGGACGAGUCAGGGCUUGGAGAUUGCAUUGUGCCGAGUGUGAAAUUAGGUGGAGGAGGAAUUAUGGAGUGGGGUUGUUUUUCCAGGAGUUCCUUAGUUGCAGUGAAAGGAACUUUGAAUGCUCCAGGAUACCAAAACAUGUUGGUCAAUUCCAUACUCCCAACCUUGUGGGAACAGUUUGGAGUAGGCCCCUUCCUCUUCCAACAUGACUGUGCACAAAUGUAGAAAGCAAAGUCCAUAAAGAAAUUGAUGACAGAGUCUGGUGUGGAUGAUCUUGACUGGCCUGCACAGAGUCUUGACCUGAACCCGAUAGAACACCUUUGGGAUGAAUUAGAACAGAAACUGAGAACUAGGCCUUCUCGACCAACAUCAGUGUGUGACCUCACCAAUGCGCUUUUGGAAGAAUGGUCGAAAAUUCCUAUAAACACACAAACCUUGUGGACAGCCUCCCCAGAAGAGUUGAAGCUGUAACAGCUGCAAAAGGUGGACCGACAUCAUAUUGAACCCUAUAGGUUAAGAAUGGGAUGGCACUUCAAGUUCAUAUGUGGGUCAAGGCAGGUGGCCAAAUACUUUUGGCAAUAUAGUGUGUGAGUGUGAGUGUGAGUGUGUGUGUCUGUGUGUGUGUGUGUGUGCGUGUGUGUGUGUGUGUGUGUGUGUGUGUGUGGAGAAAAAAAGAUACAUUAGUUCAAUCGACCACCUUCUCCUCAUUCUUAACGUCACAGUAGAUGAUUAGAUGGCAGACCCUACGAAACAGUUAGCCCCUUUGUACCUGUAGCACAUUGUAGAAACAAACGAAAAAAAUGCCAAAGUGCAAGAAAAAAAGAGAAAAAGAGCAUGUUGUAACACGAGUAAGCACUCCCGUAUACGAUGAGAGUUGGCCAUCCUGUGGACAUUUUCUAAAAGCCAUUAAAACACAUUUGUUUAAGCAUGUGUUCCAGUAACAUUCCAUGAUCAUUUUUAUAUAUUUUUUAAAUAUUUUCAUUAUCAUAUUUAAUCUGCACUAUCUCUGCUGUUGCAUUAUGCUAUAUGCUGAUAUUUAAUUAUGCUGUUUGUAUUUAAACCAUGUGAAGCACUUUGGGAGCUCUCUCUGUGAGAAGUACUAUAUCAAUAACAUCUACUUACUUCCUUACAUGUAAAUAGCUACUAAUAGCUAAUAACAACACAAAGAUGUGUCUUUAAAUAUAUUUUUAUAGCGUUUUACGCCCCUUAAAAAAUGAUGUGAAUAAUGAGUCACCCACCCACCUUUGUCAUGGCUAAUUAUGCAGAGUCCCAAUUCUUGGGGGGCCAAAAUAAGCAGUGUCUGAAGUGCAGAAAAGUUUGAUGAGCUUAAAACCCUACACUUAAUCACAACUUAAUGCGCUCAAUAAAACAAUAAGAAGAUUUAAAAUGUAUGUGGACAAAUAAAGAAGAACAGCACCUUCUUUUAUUUUAUUUUGAUGAAUGACUCAUUAUCCUUGCAAAGAAAAAAGGGUUUUGGAGCAGAGCGUCUUGUCGGGUUUUUCUUGCCAUUUCCGUGUCCAAGUUGUCUAUCAAAGUGUACCAACUUCUUAGUUUAUGUCCAAAUCAUUUUACUAUCAAGGUGAAAGGCACGAUUUAUAAUGUAGUAUCAAUUUUUACAAGCUCAGGAGCGAAAAAGCAGCUCACCGGCUGAUGAUGUCAGAUCACAAAAUAUAAAUGGGAGUAUUGUUGGCGCUUUUUGGAUGGUUAAAUAUUGGGUUUUAUGGUCGGAAUAGACACAAUCGAAGCAAUGAUGUCAUGGCUCCCCAAGACUCUUGUAAGCUGACUGUCACCACCUGCUGUAACCUUGUGGUUCGUAUUCAGUUUUCCUCUGUUGGUGCAGUUGACCAUGUUGACCUUCACUUAAUUUCUCCUUCCCCUUAGAGUUCCUGUUUCCACUAAGUGGGCGGAGUUGUGAGACAUGCACAGCUGCCUCCAAUAUACCCGGAUGAUAUUUAAGCAGCACCUUGGCAGCUGGAUGGCACUUGGUGAUUCCAAUCCUUGGCUCUCCACUCCUGACGACUUCCAUGUUUCGUGUUACUUGUUAUCCUGGCCGCUCCCGGUGCCAUCCAGCUUGGUGUCUGCGUCAGCAGUUGCACAUCUUGCAACUCCAACCCAAGUUUGUUCUAGUUUUGUAUAAUAGUUUUUGUUUAUCCACGGUGCCCAUUUUGAGUUCUCCUUUUUGCACCGCCGCCUUUUGUUCUCUCCUGUGAGGAGCACCUUUUUGUGAGUACGCUACCCAAGUAAAGAACUG